UGUUUGUUUUGGAUCUCUUUCUCAACCUCCUGACACCCGAAGAGGAGAACUGAUUCCAGACAAGAAAGCCGAAGCGUGUCCUUCCCAGCACGCAGCCCUAAGGCAGCCGGGCAGUCUCUCUGUUGCUCAGAUGAGAGCCCAUUUCUGACUCCUUCUCCACAGAGCAACUCCCUGCAGCCACUCUAGGUGAUAGGAGCUGGCACACGAGGUGAAACCUGUGUUGUCUGGGCGUGUGGCUGAUACUGUUUACUUCAAACACCGAGGACUCUGCCUGGAGACAAACCUGGUGAGUUAAUUCUCCCAGGCAGCAGCCCUCAGCCCGUGGCUGGUGGGAAGUUGGGGGAUGAACACUCCAAUUGAGGCAUGCUCGACGCUGUUGCCUAGAAUUCUCCAGGGUCAUGAAGCCCAGCUGCUCACCAUGGUGACUUGCUCCCUAUGCACUUUGUGACGCCCCUCCCUUCCCUGUCUCACUUCCCUACUAUCCCUGCCAGCGUUUCCUGGGACUCCUUGUCCCCAAACCCUCAUCUCAGCAUCUGCUUCUGGAAAAGCCUGAACAAUGACAGGCCCCUGCACCCAUGCAAAAAGUGUCCUUGAUGAUCCAAGACUGAAUGGACUGUAUGGACAAAUGGGCAGGAAAGAUGAAGACAUUGACUACAUUAUUCACAAUAGCCAAGAUGUGGAGGCAACCCAAGUGCC